rnacentral:rRNA from 1 species
UGCAAGUCGAACGCGGAAGUGGAGCAAUCCAUGAGUAGAGUGGCAAACGGGUGAGUAACACGUGGGUGACCUGCCUUCGAGUGGGGGAUAACGUCCCGAAAGGGACGCUAAUACCGCAUAACAUGCUGUCUUUUAAGAGAGAGACAUCAAAGCCGGGGACCGCAAGGCCUGGCGCUUGAAGAGGGGCCCGCGCCUGAUUAGCUAGUUGGUGGGGUAAUGGCUCACCAAGGCAACGAUCAGUAUCCGGCCUGAGAGGGCGGACGGACACACUGGGACUGAGACACGGCCCAGACUCCUACGGGAGGCAGCAGUGGGGAAUUGUUCGCAAUGGGCGCAAGCCUGACGACGCAACGCCGCGUGGAGGAUGAAGAUUUUCGGAUCGUAAACUCCUUUCGAUCGAGACGAAUAGCUCCCGGGCUAACAUCCCGGGGGAAUGACGGUACCGAGAGAAGAAGCCCCGGCUAACUCCGUGCCAGCAGCCGCGGUAAUACGGGGGGGGCAAGCGUUGUUCGGAAUUACUGGGCGUAAAGGGCUCGUAGGCGGCCAACUAAGUCAUGCGUGAAAUCCCUCGGCUUAACCGGGGAACUGCGUCUGAUACUGGAUGGCUUGAGUUCGGGAGAGGGAUGCGGAAUUCCAGGUGUAGCGGUGAAAUGCGUAGAUAUCUGGAGGAACACCGGUGGCGAAGGCGGCAUCCUGGACCGAUACUGACGCUGAGGAGCGAAAGCCAGGGGAGCAAACGGGAUUAGAUACCCCGGUAGUCCUGGCCCUAAACGAUGAAUGCUUGGUGUGGCGGGUAUCGAUCCCUGCCGUGCCGAAGCUAACGCAUUAAGCAUUCCGCCUGGGGAGUACGGUCGCAAGGCUG